rnacentral:lncRNA from 1 species
ACUUUAAAUUAAUUUCUUCUAUGAUUACAAAAGUAGAGUAUACAAUAUUUGAGAAAAAAUAAUAAUUUAACAAGUUAAAAGAAAUUAAGGUUUAAGAAAUUAAAUUAGCUAAAUUAAAUAUUAAUAGAAAUUAUCAUGUGGGUGUACUUAAAACAUGUUUACCCUUUUAAGUCAUUUCAUAUAAGGAUGAAAUAAAUAUUAGUAUAAAAGUGAUUAGUGGGGGUAUGUAAGAUAUAAUUAAAGGGUCAAAUAUCAACUCUUAAAUAUGCACAUGGGGUUUGAUGUGGGAAAUUUAGGGGUGAUAAUAGCAUCCUGAGCUGUUAGUCUAAAUCGGGGCAAUGUAAAAGCCCAGAAGGGAACUGGAUUGAUGCAGUAAUGCAACAAAACAAACUAGACUGAUAUAUUUUGGAGUGGAGCGUUUAAGACUCCACCAAAAUCCUUGUAACACCUUUUGAAUGUUAUUUAUUUCUUAAAGUACCUUCAGUUUAAUUAAUAAAAUGCCCAUUCAUAUAUUAAUAAAUCUAACUAAAUUCUCAUAAAG